rfam:Catellicoccus marimammalium M35/04/3 contig00002, whole genome shotgun sequence.
UGAGUGUUAUGAUGAUGGAGAAAUCCAAGUCUAGCUCUUGCCUUUCCACCUAGAACAAUCUAGGUGGA